rnacentral:rRNA from 1 species
UACGUAGGGUGCGAGCGUUAAUCGGAAUUACUGGGCGUAAAGCGUGCGCAGGCGGUUCGCUGUGUCCGAUGUGAAAGCCCCGGGCUUAACCUGGGAAUGGCAUUGGAAACUGGCGGGCUUGAGUGCGGCAGAGGGGGGUGGAAUUCCGCGUGUAGCAGUGAAAUGCGUAGAGAUGUGGAGGAACACCGAUGGCGAAGGCAGCCUCCUGGGCCAGCACUGACGCUCAUGCACGAAAGCGUGGGGAGCAAACAGG